rnacentral:rRNA from 1 species
GACGAACGCUGGCGGCGUGCCUAAUACAUGCAAGUCGAACGAACCGCGACUAAGUGCUUGCACUAAGUCAAGGUGAGUGGCGAACGGGUGAGUAACACGUGGGUAACCUACCUCAUAGUGGGGGAUAACAGUCGGAAACGACUGCUCAUACCGCAUAGGACAUAGGAUCACAUGAUCCAGUGAGGAAAGGUGGCGCAAGCUAUCGCUAAGAGAUGGACCCGCGGUGCAUUAGCUAGUUGGUAGGGUAAAGGCCUACCAAGGCGAUGAUGCAUAGCCGACCUGAGAGGGUGAUCGGCCACAUUGGGACUGAGACACGGCCCAGACUCCUACGGGAGGCAGCAGUAGGGAAUCUUCCGCAAUGGACGCAAGUCUGACGGAGCAACGCCGCGUGAGUGAAGAAGGUCUUCGGAUCGUAAAGCUCUGUUGUUAGGGAAGAACAGCGCAUAGAGUAACUGCUAUGCGUGUGACGGUAUCUAACCAGAAAGCCACGGCUAACUACGUG